ACAGCACCGCCGCGGGAAUACGGAGGGUGCAAGCGUUAUCCGGAUUUAUUGGGUUUAAAGGGUCCGUAGGCGGAUCUGUAAGUCAGUGGUGAAAUCUCACAGCUUAACUGUGAAACUGCCAUUGAUACUGCAGGUCUUGAGUAAAUUUGAAGUGGCUGGAAUAAGUAGUGUAGCGGUGAAAUGCAUAGAUAUUACUUAGAACACCAAUUGCGAAGGCAGGUCACUAAGAUUUAACUGACGCUGAUGGACGAAAGCGUGGGGAGCGAACAGGAUUAGAUACCCCUGUAGUCCCUGUCUCUUAUACC
rnacentral:rRNA from 1 species